AUGAGCAGCUGGUUUGCAGCAAAACCGCACCUCACUCUGCACCUUUGGAUCCCUCUCAGCCUGAGGUUAGCACAGCCAAUGUCCUCACCAGCGUCUGCCAAAGCCCAUGGAGAAGGCCAGCAGGAGCAUAUCACUGUGACUUACAACCCUUCUCUAGUCUGCUACAAUGGAAUCUUAAACAAGAAAAUUUUAUAUUUUGACUUGCAUCAUUGAGAAAAACACUGCCAACCUGAUCGUGGUUCCUUUGAAGAGCAUGGAAGGAAGCAAUGAAAAAAG
rnacentral:lncRNA from 1 species